rnacentral:tRNA from 1 species
AGGGUAAUAGUUAAUUAUAACAUUUAACUUGCACUUAAAAAAUAUUGAACUAUUCAAUUUACCUUA